UGGUAGGGCUAUUUAACGGUAGGAAGAGACAACAUGGUAGGGUAUUUAAGGCAGGAAGAGACAACAUGGUAGGGUAUUUAAGGCAGGAAGAGACAAC